UGGCAGCUACCAUGCAGUCGAGCGGCAGCGCAAGGGAGCUUGCUCCCCCGCCGGCGAGCGGCGGACGGGUGAGUAAUGUCUGGGAAACUGCCUGAUGGAGGGGGAUAACUACUGGAAACGGUAGCUAAUACCGCAUAACGUCGCAAGACCAAAGAGGGGGACCUUCGGGCCUCUUGCCAUCGGAUGUGCCCAGAUGGGAUUAGCUAGUAGGUGGGGUAAAGGCUCACCUAGGCGACGAUCCCUAGCUGGUCUGAGAGGAUGACCAGCCACACUGGAACUGAGACACGGUCCAGACUCCUACGGGAGGCAGCAGUGGGGAAUAUUGCACAAUGGGCGCAAGCCUGAUGCAGCCAUGCCGCGUGUGUGAAGAAGGCCUUCGGGUUGUAAAGCACUUUCAGCGGGGAGGAAGGGAGCAGGCUUAAUACGUCUGUUCAUUGACGUUACCCGCAGAAGAAGCACCGGCUAACUCCGUGCCAGCAGCCGCGGUAAUACGGAGGGUGCAAGCGUUAAUCGGAAUGACUGGGCGUAAAGCGCACGCAGGCGGUCUGUUAAGUUGGAUGUGAAAUCCCCGGGCUUAACCUGGGAACUGCAUUCAAAACUGACAGGCUGGAGUCUCGUAGAGGGGGGUAGAAUUCCAGGUGUAGCGGUGAAAUGCGUAGAGAUCUGGAGGAAUACCGGUGGCGAAGGCGGCCCCCUGGACGAAGACUGACGCUCAGGUGCGAAAGCGUGGGGAGCAAACAGGAUUAGAUACCCUGGUAGUCCACGCUGUAAACGAUGUCGAUUUGGAGGUUGUGGUCUUGAACCGUGGCUUCCGGAGCUAACGCGUUAAAUCGACCGCCUGGGGAGUACGGCCGCAAGGUUAAAACUCAAAUGAAUUGACGGGGGCCCGCACAAGCGGUGGAGCAUGUGGUUUAAUUCGAUGCAACGCGAAGAACCUUACCUACUCUUGACAUCCAGAGAAGACUGCAGAGAUGCGGUUGUGCCUUCGGGAGCUCUGAGACAGGUGCUGCAUGGCUGUCGUCAGCUCGUGUUGUGAAAUGUUGGGUUAAGUCCCGCAACGAGCGCAACCCUUAUCCUUUGUUGCCAGCACUUCGGGUGGGAACUCAAGGGAGACUGCCGGUGAUAAACCGGAGGAAGGUGGGGAUGACGUCAAGUCAUCAUGGCCCUUACGAGUAGGGCUACACACGUGCUACAAUGGCGUAUACAAAGAGAAGCGACCUCGCGAGAGCAGGCGGACCUCAUAAAGUACGUCGUAGUCCGGAUUGGAGUCUGCAACUCGACUCCAUGAAGUCGGAAUCGCUAGUAAUCGUAGAUCAGAAUGCUACGGUGAAUACGUUCCCGGGCCUUGUACACACCGCCCGUCACACCAUGGGAGUGGGUUGCAAAAGAAGUAGGUAGCUUAACCUUCGGGAGGGCGCUACCACUUGGAUGCAUAAG
rnacentral:rRNA from 1 species